AUUGAACGCUGGCGGCAUGCUUUACACAUGCAAGUCGAACGGUAACAGGCCGCAAGGUGCUGACGAGUGGCGAACGGGUGAGUAAUGCAUCGGAACGUGCCCAGUCGUGGGGGAUAACGCAGCGAAAGCUGUGCUAAUACCGCAUACGAUCUAUGGAUGAAAGCGGGGGGCCGUAAGGCCUCGCGCGAUUGGAGCGGCCGAUGUCGGAUUAGGUAGUUGGUGGGGUAAAGGCUCACCAAGCCAACGAUCUGUAGCUGGUCUGAGAGGACGACCAGCCACACUGGGACUGAGACACGGCCCAGACUCCUACGGGAGGCAGCAGUGGGGAAUUUUGGACAAUGGGCGCAAGCCUGAUCCAGCAAUGCCGCGUGCAGGAAGAAGGCCUUCGGGUUGUAAACUGCUUUUGUACGGAACGAAAAGGUUUGGGUUAAUACCCUGGGCCGAUGACGGUACCGUAAGAAUAAGCACCGGCUAACUACGUGCCAGCAGCCGCCGUAA
rnacentral:rRNA from 1 species